UAUUAACGAUGAAUAAAACUU
ensembl:piRNA 21ur-12419 ncRNA